rnacentral:rRNA from 1 species
AUUGAACGCUGGCGGCAGGCCUAACACAUGCAAGUCGAACGGUAACAGGAAGCGGCUUGCUGCUUUGCUGACGAGUGGCGGGCGUGUGAGUCAUGUCGGGGAAACUGCCUGAUGGAGGGGGAUAACUACUGGAAACGGUAGCUAAUACCGCAUAACGUCGCAAGACCAAAGAGGGGGACCUUCGGGCCUCUUGCCAUCGGAUGUGCCCAGAUGGGAUUAGCUAGUAGGUGGGGUAACGGCUCACCUAGGCGACGAUCCCUAGCUGGUCUGAGAGGAUGACCAGCCACACUGGAACUGAGACACGGUCCAGACUCCUACGGGAGGCAGCAGUGGGGAAUAUUGCACAAUGGGCGCAAGCCUGAUGCAGCCAUGCCGCGUGUAUGAAGAAGGCCUUCGGGUUGUAAAGUACUUUCAGCGGGGAGGAAGGGAGUAAAGUUAAUACCUUCGCUCAUUGACGUUACCCGAAGAAGAAGCACCGGCUAACUCCGUG